rnacentral:sRNA from 1 species
UCACAAAGAGUUGACGGCGAAAGCCCAGUA